CAGAGGAGCCAAGCGUUGUCCGGAUUGACUGGGCGUAAAGCGCACGCAGGCGGAUGCGCGCGUGGGGUGUGAAAUCUGGCCGCUUAACGGCCAGGCGCCAUCCCAUACGGCGCGUCUGGAGUGAUGCAGAGGUCGGUGGAAUUGCCGGUGUAGUGGUGAAAUGCGUAGAGAUCGGCAGGAACACCCAGGGGGAAACCAGCCGACUGGGCAUCGACUGACGCUGAGGUGCGAGAGCGUGGGGAGCGAACCGG
rnacentral:rRNA from 1 species